CCUACGGGAGACAGCAGUGGGGAAUAUUGCGCAAUGGGCGAAAGCCUGACGCAGCGACGCCGCGUGAGGGAUGAAGGUCUUCGGAUCGUAAACCUCUGUCAGCAGGGAAGAACGGUCACUGUGCUAAUCAGCAGUGAAUUGACGGUACCUGCAAAGGCAGCACCGGCUAACUCCGUGCCAGCAGCCGCGGUAAUACGGAGGGUGCGAGCGUUAAUCGGAAUUACUGGGCGUAAAGCGCUCGUAGGCGGUAUGUCAAGUCAAGGGUGAAAUCCCCGCGCUCAACGUGGGAACUGCCUUUGAAACUGGCAAACUGGGGUGGGUGAGAGGAGAGUGGAAUUCCAGGUGUAGGAGUGAAAUCCGUAGAUAUCUGGAGGAACAUCAGUGGCGAAGGCGACUAUCUGGCACAUAACUGACGCUGAGGAGCGAAAGCGUGGUAGCAAACAGGAUUAGAUACCCCUGUAGUC
rnacentral:rRNA from 1 species